AAGUUCCACAGGAAGAACUUCCUGAGACAAUGGGCCUGGAACCCUAAGUGAUCUCCCCAGCUUCAGGUGACCUGAAAUCAAUAAUAUGAAUAAAUGACAUCUGCAGAAUCUGCUCAUUCUAGAGACCAUAUGGAAAGGAUGAAGUACACACAUAGCCCUAUCUGAAUAUUCUUCAAAAUCACCAAAGGAAACAAAGGAGAGGCAUCUGUGGACAGGCUCUCUGUAUCCAGCAUGAGAUUUGGAGCCAUCCCACUGGGCUGCUUAUCACUUCUGUGCCCUGGACAAGUCACUUGAGAAAGGGGAGAAAAUCAGGAGGGGGCAAGGGGAGAAGAAGGGGAACACUACCAGGACAGCAGAUGGAGAAAGAACAGCUCAAACGUUCUUAUGGUGAAUUUACAAGAAGACAUAGAUGGGAUACAUGCUGCAUUUCUAGAAGAUGUAACCACAGAGCUUAGAUUGCAAAGUACUGGCCACAAAAGAUCAUUUAGACCUCAUCUUUCUCAUUAAGGAAUCUACAGUGAAUUUCAAGAGAGAAAACAGGACAAUAUGGAAUGAUUCUUGGAACAGAAGUUCAAUAAAGUUCAAUAAAGGAAGCUAGCUUCCCAAGAAGAUACGUGGACAUCCUGACAGCAUUCCCUGAACUUCAGCUGACUGCUGCAAAUUUCCCCUUUACUGAGCUGUUUCCAAAAAGACUCAAAUACAUGAUAUACACCAAAUUCAUAACCAGGAUCUGAGGUAAACUCUUUCCAUGUUGGAGCAAAGACAAAAGGUUGAAAGGUAGCCAGUUAGGCUGAGGAGAGUUGAGAUCUGGGUUCAAGGCUCAGCCCCAUUCUCUUUUGCUUAUGUAAAUUCAAAUAAUAAGCAAUGUCUUUA